UCGACAUAGUUUAAUCUAAAACACUGGGCCGUGGCUCCAGAAACAAAAAAUCAAGUUUUUUUGUCGAUC
rnacentral:tRNA from 2 species